UGGGGAAUUGUUCGCAAUGGGCGCAAGCCUGACGACGCAACGCCGCGUGGAGGAUGAAGAUCUUCGGGUCGUAAACUCCUUUCGAUCGGGAAGAACGCCUUCGGUGUGAACAACACCGAGGGGUGACGGUACCGAGAGAAGAAGCCCCGGCUAACUCUGUGCCAGCAGCCGCGGUAAUACAGGGGGGGCAAGCGUUGUUCGGAAUUACUGGGCGUAAAGGGCCAGUAGGCGGCCGAUUAAGUCCGACGUGAAAUCCCCAAGCUUAACUUGGGAACUGCGUCGGAUACUGAUGGGCUUGAAUUCGGGAGAGGGAUGCAGAAUUCCAGGUGUAGCGGUGAAAUGCGUAGAUAUCUGGAGGAAUACCGGUGGCGAAGGCGGCAUCCUGGACCGACAUUGACGCUGAACGGCGAAAGCUAGGGGAGCAAACGGGAUUAGAUACCCCCGUAGUCC
rnacentral:rRNA from 1 species